CGCGUGGGAAUCUGCCAAACAGUUUGGGCCGAAUCCCAAAGAAACGAAAGCAAAAAAGACUUCGAUAAAGACUAAAAGACGCUGUUUGAUGAGCCUGCGUAGUAUUAGGUAGUUGGUUGGGUAAAGGCUGACCAAGCCGCAGAUGCUUAGCUGAUCUUUUCGGACGAUCAGCCACACUGGGACUGAGACACGGCCCAGACUCCGUAGGGAGGCAGCAGUGGGGAAUAUUGGACAAUGGGCGAAAGCCCGAUCCAGCAAUAUCGCGUGAGUGAGUGAAAAACGUCGCGUUAGCGAGGAAGG
rnacentral:rRNA from 1 species